AACGAACGCUCUCGGCAGCCUUAACUCCUGCACGUCUAUCGUGCUUUGUGCUUCGGUCCCCUUUGCUAGUGGCCCACCGGUGCGUAACACGUGGGAAUCUUCCCUUUAGUACCGAAUAACCCAGGUCACCUUUGCCUACUACCUUAUUCGCCCUUCGUUGGAACGAUUUAUCGCUAAAGGAUUAGCCCGCGUCUGAUUAGGUAGUUGUUGAGGUAAUGUCUCACCAAGCCGCCGAUCAGUAGCUGGUCUGCAAGGAUAAUCAGCCACACUUGUACUGAGACACGGCCAAGACUCCUAAGGGAAGCAGCAGUAGGGAAUACUGGACAAGGGAGACAACCCGGAGCCAGCCAUGCCGAGUGAGUGAAGAAGGCCUUCGGGUUGUAAAGCUCUUUCGACGGGGACGAUGAUGACGGUACCCGUAUAAGAAGCCCCGGAAAACUUCGUG
rnacentral:rRNA from 1 species